ACGCUCAAAUAUAUAAGGUGUU
rnacentral:miRNA from 1 species